rnacentral:rRNA from 1 species
AUAACAGUCAGAAAUGACUGCUAAUACCGCAUAAGACCACAGCACCGCAUGGUGCAGGGGUAAAAACUCCGGUGGUACAGGAUGGACCCGCGUCUGAUUAGCUGGUUGGCGAGGUAACGGCUCACCAAGGCGACGAUCAGUAGCCGGCUUGAGAGAGUGAACGGCCACAUUGGGACUGAGACACGGCCCAAACUCCUACGGGAGGCAGCAGUGGGGAAUAUUGCACAAUGGGGGGAACCCUGAUGCAGCGACGCCGCGUGAGUGAAGAAGUAUCUCGGUAUGUAAAGCUCUAUCAGCAGGGAAGAAAAUGACGGUACCUGACUAAGAAGCCCCGGCUAACUACGUGCCAGCAGCCGCGGUAAUACGUAGGGGGCAAGCGUUAUCCGGAAUUACUGGGUGUAAAGGGUGCGUAGGUGGUAUGGCAAGUCAGAAGUGAAAACCCAGGGCUUAACUCUGGGACUGCUUUUGAAACUGUCAGACUGGAGUGCAGGAGAGGUAAGCGGAAUUCCUAGUGUAGCGGUGAAAUGCGUAGAUAUUAGGAGGAACAUCAGUGGCGAAGGCGGCUUACUGGACUGAAACUGACACUGAGGCACGAAAGCGUGGGGAGCAAACAGGAUUAGAUACCCUGGUAGUCCACGCCGUAAAC